AAACACUUUCGUUCUGAACCGGUUUAAAUAGUUAUUCUGCCGUUAAAUCCGAAGCGAUGGACGCCUGAUGCCGCCGUUGAGGGUCAGAGCAGAAGCUGCGCCGGAGCGAUGUUAGUUAGGCUCCGUGUGUAGGAGUUGUGGUCGACUACCGUCUUGAAGUGGGUCAGGGCAUAAUUCAAUCCAGUUGCAGUUCUCUUCUUUUUGAUUACCAUGUUAUCUGCCAUCUUCACGAAAUCGCUGAUUGAAAUGGCUUUACGCUUAUAUACAGCCCUUUAUUGAGUCAGAAUAGCCUAUAAAGGGUCAAAGAACAGAUGCUGAUAACCACUGGCAAAAGAUUGAUGGUCUGCCGCCGCCUUGUGGCUGCAUUAGAUGACAGAAAACUACAGGACACCUUCAGCCUCAACGUUACAAGAUGCACAUCCUCUAAGUGCCGGUUUUCCCAUAGCCCCCUCGAACACCCGCACUUCGUUUAUUUGCCAUCAGUGCCUCUGCAGCUUGAAAUCUCAUGCUUCUGCCAUCCGUGAGACCAGUCUCAAUAAAGGCUACAAUAUUACAGUA